CCUACGGGCGGCAGCAGUGAGGAAUAUUGGUCAAUGGACGAGAGUCUGAACCAGCCAAGUAGCGUGAAGGAUGACUGCCCUAUGGGUUGUAAACUUCUUUUAUAUGGGAAUAAAAUGUUCCACGUGUGGGAUUUUGUAUGUACCAUAUGAAUAAGGAUCGGCUAACUCCGUGCCAGCAGCCGCGGUAAUACGGAGGAUCCGAGCGUUAUCCGGAGUUAUUGGGUUUAAAGGGAGCGUAGGUGGAUUGUUAAGUCAGUUGUGAAAGUUUGCGGCUCAACCGUAAAAUUGCAGUUGAAACUGGCAGUCUUGAGUACAGUAGAGGUGGGCGGAAUUCGUGGGGUAGCGGUGAAAUGCUUAGAUAUCACGAAGAACUCCGAUUGCGAAGGCAGUUCACUGGACUGCAACUGACACUGAGGCUCGAAAGUGUGGGUAUCAAACAGGAUUAGAUACCCGGGUAGUC
rnacentral:rRNA from 1 species